AGAGUUUGAUCAUGGCUCAGAUUGAACGCUGGCGGCAUGCCUUACACAUGCAAGUCGAACGGCAGCACGGGAGCUUGCUCCUGGUGGCGAGUGGCGAACGGGUGAGUAAUAUAUCGGAACGUACCCUAGAGUGGGGGAUAACGCAGCGAAAGUUGCGCUAAUACCGCAUACGAUCUACGGAUGAAAGUGGGGGAUCGCAAGACCUCAUGCUCAUGGAGCGGCCGAUAUCUGAUUAGCUAGUUGGUAGGGUAAAAGCCUACCAAGGCUUCGAUCAGUAGCUGGUCUGAGAGGACGACCAGCCACUCUGGAACUGAGACACGGUCCAGACUCCUACGGGAGGCAGCAGUGGGGAAUUUUGGACAAUGGGCGCAAGCCUGAUCCAGCAAUGCCGCGUGAGUGAAGAAGGCCUUCGGGUUGUAAAGCUCUUUUGUCAGGGAAGAAACGGUGGACUCUAAUACAGAUCACUAAUGACGGUACCUGAAGAAUAAGCACCGGCUAACUACGUGCCAGCAGCCGCGGUAAUACGUAGGGUGCAAGCGUUAAUCGGAAUUACUGGGCGUAAAGCGUGCGCAGGCGGUUGUGCAAGACAGAUGUGAAAUCCCCGGGCUCAACCUGGGAAUUGCAUUUGUGACUGCACGGCUAGAGUGUGUCAGAGGGGGGUAGAAUUCCACGUGUAGCAGUGAAAUGCGUAGAGAUGUGGAGGAAUACCGAUGGCGAAGGCAGCCCCCUGGGAUAACACUGACGCUCAUGCACGAAAGCGUGGGGAGCAAACAGGAUUAGAUACCCUGGUAGUCCACGCCCUAAACGAUGUCUACUAGUUGUUGGGUCUUAAUUGACUUAGUAACGCAGCUAACGCGUGAAGUAGACCGCCUGGGGAGUACGGUCGCAAGAUUAAAACUCAAAGGAAUUGACGGGGACCCGCACAAGCGGUGGAUGAUGUGGAUUAAUUCGAUGCAACGCGAAAAACCUUACCUACCCUUGACAUGUACGGAAUCCCUGAGAGAUUAGGGAGUGCUCGAAAGAGAGCCGUAACACAGGUGCUGCAUGGCUGUCGUCAGCUCGUGUCGUGAGAUGUUGGGUUAAGUCCCGCAACGAGCGCAACCCUUGUCAUUAGUUGCUACGAAAGGGCACUCUAAUGAGACUGCCGGUGACAAACCGGAGGAAGGUGGGGAUGACGUCAAGUCCUCAUGGCCCUUAUGGGUAGGGCUUCACACGUCAUACAAUGGUACAUACAGAGGGCCGCCAACCCGCGAGGGGGAGCUAAUCCCAGAAAGUGUAUCGUAGUCCGGAUUGUAGUCUGCAACUCGACUACAUGAAGUUGGAAUCGCUAGUAAUCGCGGAUCAGCAUGUCGCGGUGAAUACGUUCCCGGGUCUUGUACACACCGCCCGCCACACCAUGGGAGCGGGUUUCACCAGAAGUAGGUAGCCUAACCGUAAGGAGGGCGCUUACCACGGUGGGAUUCGUGACUGGGGUGAAGUCGUAACAAGGUA
rnacentral:rRNA from 1 species